rnacentral:lncRNA from 1 species
GAACCGGCGAACCUCGGCCCCUGAAAAGUGGAACGUGCACACUUAACCACUAUGCCACCGGGCUGGCCCCCAGAACCAUAGUUUAAUAGGAACAUACAAUGUGACUUACAGAAAUGUUUCCAUACUAGUUUUAAGGAACACAUCUGUAGCACAAAUCAAGUGCAUUGAUGGAAAAAAUUCUGUAUUUUAUUUAUACAUUAAUGUAUACAGAUGUGCUGAAAACUAUUGAAAAGCUAUUUGUGGAUAUGAAUCCAAUGGAGUCAACUCAUGAGACUAUGAAAUACACGUAUUAGCAAAGUGUUGUGUUAAGAAAACUGUGACUCCCCCAUUCAAAGUAGCUUUUGAAGACACUAGAAGUACUUUUGAAAGCCAAAAAAGAUGAACCCUCACAAAGCUGAAAACAACACUGCAGACGUCAUCUAGGUGGAGUCACUAACAACUGAAAGAAGACAGAGUUUAAGAAAAAAAACCCAUAAGCUUUGGCACAUGAAACAGAGACCUCCUGAAAAAUAAAAAUGAAAUUAAAUGAUUAUGCUCUCAUUGCUAAAACAGCAAUGUGUAUGACCUGCACCUCUGCCUUGCUCGAAACACUAGUGACGUAGCUGGUCCCUGUGUGCUGAUUCAGGUAAUUUGUAAAUAGAUUUAAGGUAAGUCCAGUGUAAUGACUACAUUCUUUUAAAGUUAAUAGGCUAUGGCUCCAUAAUGUUAAAUCAUGAGUUUAAGCCUAUUCUCUUUAGAAAUAAAAAGUCAUUUCUAUACGUUCCUCUCAAUUCUCUAUUACACAGGAAGUUACUUCAGGGUGGGGAUUAUAUCUUGGGUCUUUCUAGCACUUCUUAUCCCACCUCAUGUAACCUCCAGCCCCUGUCCUGGCGACAGGCCACGUACCAGAACACACUUAUUUAACUGAAUGACUGGAAAACUUAUUAGCCUUUCUUAUGAUGGAGUCACUUCACAGGGCCCCUUGGGAAAGCUGUGGAAGGCUGUACCAGUUCCAGAAGGCCUGUCGCAUUUUUAAUGGAAUUUCUUUUUCUGUAUUUAUCGCUCUUUCUUUCUAAUUCUGCUCCUUUGG